ACGUACGCUGGCGGCACGCCUAACACAUGCAAGUCGAACGAAGUAGCAAUACUUAGUGGCAGACGGGUGAGUAACAUGUAGGUAUCUGCCCUUUGGCCUGGAAUAACACGAGGAAACUUGUGCUAAUACCGGAUAAGUCUUUACGGAGAAAGCUUUAUGCACCAUUGGAUGAGCCUGCACUUGAUUAGUUUGUUGGUGGGGUAAUGGCCUACCAAGACUGUGAUCAAUAGCUGAUUUGAGAGGAUGAUCAGCCACAUUGGGACUGAGACACGGCCCAAACUCCUACGGGAGGCAGCAGUGGGGAAUCUUGCACAAUGGAGGAAACUCUGAUGCAGCGAUGCCGCGUGAGUGAAGAAGGCCCUUGGGUUGUAAAGCUCUUUCGUCGGGGAAGAAAAUGACUGUACCCGAAUAAGAAGGUCCGGCUAACUUCGUGCCAGCAGCCGCGGUAAUACGAAGGGACCUAGCGUAGUUCGGAAUUACUGGGCUUAAAGAGUUCGUAGGUGGUUGAAAAAGUUAGUGGUGAAAUCCCAGAGCUUAACUCUGGAACUGCCAUUAAAACUUUUCAGCUAGAGUAUGAUAGAGGAAAGCAGAAUUUCUAGUGUAGAGGUGAAAUUCGUAGAUAUUAGAAAGAACUACCAAUUGCGAAGGCAGCUCUCUGGCUCAUUACUGA
rnacentral:rRNA from 1 species